rnacentral:rRNA from 1 species
GACGAACGCUGGCGGCGUGCUUAACACAUGCAAGCCGAACGCUGAAGCUCAGCUUUUGUUGGGUGGAUGAGUGGCGAACGGGUGAGUAACACGUGAGUAACCUGCCCCCUUCUUUGGGAUAACGCCCGGAAACGGGUGCUAAUACUGGAUAUUCACUGGUCUUCGCAUGGGGGUUGGUGGAAAGGGUUUUUCUGGUGGGGGAUGGGCUCGCGGCCUAUCAGCUUGUUGGUGGGGUGAUGGCCUACCAAGGCUUUGACGGGUAGCCGGCCUGAGAGGGUGACCGGUCACAUUGGGACUGAGAUACGGCCCAGACUCCUACGGGAGGCAGCAGUGGGGAAUAUUGCCCAAUGGGCGCAAGCCUGAUGCAGCGACGCCGCGUGAGGGAUGGAGGCCUUCGGGUUGUGAACCUCUUUCGCUCAUGGUCAAGCCGCAACAAUGGUUGUGGUGAGGGUAGUGGGUAAAGAAGCGCCGGCUAACUACGUG